AUUGCUUGAGCCUGGGAGGUAGAGGCUGCAGUGAGCCAUAACUGUGCCACUGCACUCCAGCCUCCAGCCUGGGCAACAGAGACAGACCCUGUCUCAAACAAACAAAACCAGGCCAGGCGCAGUGGCUCACGCCUGUAAUCCCAGCACGUUGGGAGACCGAGGUGGGUGAAUCACCUGAGGUCGGGAGUUCAAGACCAGCCUGACCAACCUGGAGAAACCCCAUCUCUACUAAAAAUACAAAAUUAGGCCUGGUGGCGCAUGCCUGUAAUCCCAGCUGCUAGGGAAGCUGAGGCAGGAGAAUCACUUGAACUCGCGAGGCAGAGAUUGCGGUGAGCCGAGACAGCACCAUUGCACUCCAGCCUGGGUGACAAGAGCGAAACUCCGUCUCAAAAAACAAAAAACACACAAACAACGAUGUGGGAGACUCCAG
rnacentral:lncRNA from 1 species